rnacentral:misc_RNA from 1 species
AAGUCGUAACAAGGUUUCCGUAGGUGAACCUGCGGAAGGAUCAUUAAUGAAUUUUAGGGUGUCUACUCCGGUAGAGCCUGACCUCCAUUUUCUAACUCUGUGCAUUUAUUGGCGGGCAGUGAAGGAAGGAAAAAGGUUAAACUUGUUCUCGGACUUCACUCCCUGCGGCUCAUUUUUAAACACUAGUCAAAGAAUGUAACGAAAUAUCGAAACAAAAAAAAACUUUCAACAACGGAUCUCUUGGCUCUC